AGAGAAUAAUGGGUUCCAAGGUGGGAACUCGGGUGUGUCGAGGAUGGGAACGAAGCCAGAGACCAGAGGUACAAUUACUUCUGACACUCUUCACAGGACCACCUGACAUGGUUAAACAGCCCUGGCUUAACGUUCCAGACACUGCUGCCAAUACUUGCGGCUGUUAGUUCCUGAUUUCUGCUUAAGUGUUUCAACAGCACACCGUGGGACAAUAGUAACAGGGCCAAAGGAAUACAUCUUCAACAUGUACAUAAAUUCCACCAAGUGGCUGCAUGGAAAAGCAAAAAUAAAGAAGGAGUUAGCUACACCUGAAAGGUUCUUCUUUAUGAACAAAUCACUCAGAAGAGGAUCAGCUGCUGAUCAUACGUCUGACUCAGCUAUAUCUCAUUGCUAUGGCUCUUGGCCACAAGAUAUCUGACUCUGUGUCACCAGCCUAACAGAAGAUCACAUUGUGCUGCCAAAGCACAGAACACACCCAGCUUCUUGGAUUUCAUCUGUCUUGCAUUUCCUUAUGUAUCAGUUACAGGAAAAGCAGCAACUGAAAUACAGCUCUCAAAUGCUCUGGAUGGUAAAUAAAACAAGGCAUAUGCUAUAAUA
rnacentral:lncRNA from 1 species